UACGUAGGUGGCAAGCGUUGUCCGGAGUUAUUGGGCGUAAAGGGUCCGCAGGUGGCCCGGUCAGUCCGCUGUCAAAGCCUGGGGCUCAACCCUGGAGAGGCGGCGGAGACCACCGGGCUUGAGUCCGGUAGGGGCAGAGGGAAUUCCCGGUGGAGCGGUGAAAUGCGUAGAGAUCGGGAAGAACGCCAAGGGCGAAGGCACUCUGCUAGGCCUGAUUUCGCGACUGACACUCAGGGACGAGAGCCAGGGGAGCGAAUGGG
rnacentral:rRNA from 1 species